AGUCGGAUUAGCUAGUUGGUGGGGUAAAGGCCUACCAAGGCGACGAUCUGUAGCGGGUCUGAGAGGAUGAUCCGCCACACUGGGACUGAGACACGGCCCAGACUCCUACAGGAGGCAGCAGUGGGGAAUAUUGGACAAUGGGGGGAACCCUGAUCCAGCCAUGCCGCGUGUGUGAAGAAGGCCUUAUGGUUGUAAAGCACUUUAAGCGAGGAGGAGGCUACUGAGACUAAUACUCUUGGAUAGUGGACGUUACUCGCAGAAUAAGCACCGGCUAACUCUGUGCCAGCAGCCGCGGUAAUACAGAGGGUGCGAGCGUUGAUCGGAUUUACUGGGCGUAAAGCGUGCGUAGGCGGCUUUUUAAGUCGGAUGUGAAAUCCCCGAGCUUAACUUGGGAAUUGCAUUCGAUACUGGGAAGCUAGAGUAUGGGAGAGGAUGGUAGAAUUCCAGGUGUAGCGGUGAAAUGCGUAGAGAUCUGGAGGAAUACCGAUGGCGAAGGCAGCCAUCUGGCCUAAUACUGACGCUGAGGUACGAAAGCAUGGGGAGCAAACAGGAUUAGAUACCCUGGUAGUCCAUGCCGUAAACGAUGUCUACUAGCCGUUGGGGCCUUUGAGGCUUUAGUGGCGCAGCUAACGCGAUAAGUAGACCGCCUGGGGAGUACGGUCGCAAGACUAAAACUCAAAUGAAUUGACGAAUCGUCGACCUGCAGGCAUGCAAGC
rnacentral:rRNA from 1 species